ensembl:lncRNA
AUGGUGGGCCAAAGUGUACCUGCACUCGUUGGUGUGCGUUUGCUUGUCUCGUCUAAACCCCGUUUCAAACUGCAGGUGAAGGACCCACGGUUCGAGUGGACCAGAGAUAAGAUGUUGGUCCUGAGGGAAGUCACUUACGGGGAUCAGGGUCUUUAUGCAGUCAAAAAUACGCUUGGCUUCACCUUCGAGGCUGUUCACCUGGUGGUUUUAGAGUGCAUCCGGUCCUUCCACAGACACUACGGGGAGAGCUUUGAGCACAGCAUCCCCGAAAACGGCUCCCUGCUGGAGUUCUCCCCGCGCGGCGCUCCACACGCGGCGUCGCCCAUCGUGCUUUGGAACGAGACGGACCCCGAGACCAGCAGCGCGAGGCGAGGCCGGCUGCUGCACAGCAGGAGGGUGUGGGUGGCUGAGAGGGUGACGCAGGCCGACCAGGGCAACUACACGGUGAGAGACGUCCAGGGCAACGUGCUGUCCCACCGGCUGCUCAUCGUCCGAGGGCACUCCUUCAACGUCACCCGCUUCACCAAGGAGUCUCUAAAUCUGCCCCUCUUUCUUCCUAUUCCUCACGUCCACCUCAUUUUUAUUCCUACCCGACACCCUGAUGAAUACUCCGCGGGCCCCUUCGACCCCAAGCCCCCUCGGGGCGCUGUGCAGCUCAUUCGCGAGGGCCACAUAACGGACUACGACAUGCGCUACAGGGGCCUCAUCUCCCUGGGCAGGAACGGUUCCCUCAACGAGGUGGUCAUAUCGAGGCUGACCUCGCGGCACGACGGCGUGUAUGAGAUCAGAGACGACGACGGCAACUUAGUGUCGUCCACGCUGCUGCAGGUGAUCGAGAAGGGAGGCCGGUGGCGAGCGCUUCUCAAGUCCAUCACCGUCCCAUCGGGCAUGUUUGUGUCACUGGCUGGCUUCAUCCUGUUCAUGAAGCGCUACCCAAACUGCAGCUUGUCCCAGAUCAUCACCGGCCUCAGAACAAACCGCACGCCUGCAGCCAACCCUCCGAGGGUCAACAUCCAGGACUACAGCCAACCCGUAUCUGAGCCCUCUAGCUACUACAGUCACGCUCAGCAACCAGGAACUCCAAGGAAGUGGACCCCAAGAACCAGUCCAGCUCACGCUGUAAGGCUGAUCUACUGAAUGAGACAAAUUCUCCGGCAUUUCCUGUCUUGAUUCGUAAGAUGUAAUCUCUGUCUGUGUGUUGAUGUUUGCGUUAUCCAGAGUUACAGUCCGGUCAUGAUAGGAAGUCCAAGAACUGAAACCCAGCAAGCAUACAGAGCAGCGGCUAGGAGCUCCCCUAGUCACGCUUCAGCCUCUGGGGUAACGUAGCAUUUUAUUCAAUUCCUGACUACUUGUACGUCUCAUAUUAAAAUAUGUUUUUAACCGUGUGUCUUUAUUUCAUCACAGGUUGAAAACUCUAUUGAGGAAGAUAAACAGAUUUCCUUCUCGGUGUCUGGUGCUUCCAACUGCCUUCAGUCGUCUGAGGACUGCAUUCAGUUCCAGAUCAAUAGGGAUGGUAAUGAAGAAAAGAGGAGCAGUUCCCAAGGAUUUUCCACGCUGCCACUAGACGAGGACACAUCUGGACUGUGCAGUGUUUACACAUCGGAGAAACUGAACUUCUUAUGAGACAAAUAACUGAAGCUGGAACAAGAGAGGAAGAAAUAAAUGUUGGAGAAACUCCA